rnacentral:rRNA from 1 species
AUGCGGGACUCAUCAGAGGCCUCGCAAUUGGAAUGAGCGCACUUUAAAUCGUUCGACGAGGAUCUAUUGGAGGGCAAGUCUGGUGCCAGCAGCCGCGGUAAUUCCAGCUCCAAUAGCGUAUAUUAAAGUUGUUGCAGUUAAAAAGCUCGUAGUUGGAUCUGGGGUUCGGGUCGGCGGUUUGCCGCUUCGGCGGCUACUGCCGUGCUCGACUCUUACUAGCCGGUGCGUCUUGCGGUGCUCUUCAUCGAGUGCCGUAGGAGCCUGGCAUGUUUACUUUGAAAAAAUUAGAGUGCUCAAAGCAGGCGAUUCCGCCUGAAUAGUGUUGCAUGGAAUAAUGGAAUAGGACCGUUCUAUUUUGUUGGUUUUCGGAACUUGAGGUAAUGAUUAAGAGGGACGGUCGGGGGCAUUCGUAUUUCGGUGUUAGAGGUGAAAUUCUUGGAUCGCUGAAAGACGGACAAAUGCGAAAGCAUCUGCCAAGAACGUCUCCAUUAAUCAAGAACGAAAGUCAGAGGUUCGAAGACGAUCAGACACCGUCCUAGUUCUGACCAUAAACGAUGCCAACUAGCGAUCCGCAGUGGUUGCUAUAAACGGACUCUGCGAGCAGCUUCCGGGAAACCAAAGUGUUUGGGUUCCGGGGGAAGUAUGGUUGCAAAGCUGAAACUUAAAGGAAUUGACGGAAGGGCACCACCAGGAGUGGAGCCUGCGGCUUAAUUUGACCCAACACGGGGAAACUCACCCGGUCCGGACACUGUAAGGAUUGACAGAUCGAGAGCUCUUUCUUGAUUCGGUGGAUGGUGGUGCAUGGCCGUUCUUAGUUGGUGGAGUGAUUUGUCUGGUUAAUUCCGAUAACGAACGAGACUCUAGCCUGCUAACUAGUUGCGCCGUGUUCAUACGCGGCUGUAGACUUCUUAGAGGGACAGGUGGCGUUUAGCCACACGAAAUUGAGCAAUAACAGGUCUGUGAUGCCCUUAGAUGUCCGGGGCCGCACGCGCGCUACACUGAAGGAGUCAGCGUGUGCUAUCCGGGCUCGGAAGAGUUCGGUAACCCGUUGAAACUCCUUCGUGCUUGGGAUUGUGGCUUGUAAUUAUCGCGCAUGAACGAGGAAUUCCCAGUAAGUGCAAGUCAUCAGCUUGCGCUGACUACGUCCCUGCCCUUUGUACACACCGCCCGUCGCUACUACCGAUUGAAUGGUUUAGCAAGGUACUCGGAUUGGUCUCGAUCUUGUACGAAAGUGCGGGAUCUGUGGCCGAGAAGAAGGCCAAACUUGAUCAUUUAGAGGAAGUAAA